CCUACGGGAGGCAGCAGGGGGGAAUAUUGGGCAAUGGGCGCAAGCCUGACCCAGCAACGCCGCGUGAAGGAAGAAGGCUUUCGGGUUGUAAACUUCUUUUCUGAGGGACGAAGAAAGUGACGGUACCUCAGGAAUAAGCCACGGCUAACUACGUGCCAGCAGCCGCGGUAAUACGUAGGUGGCAAGCGUUCUCCGGAUUUAUUGGGUGUAAAGGGCGUGUAGGCGGGAAAGCAAGUCAUAUGUGAAAACUCAGGGCUCAACCCUGAGACUGCAUGUGAAACUGUUUUUCUUGAGUGCUGGAGAGGCAAUCGGAAUUCCGGGUGUAGCGGUGAAAUGCGUAGAUAUACGGAGGAACACCAGUGGCGAAGGCGGAUUGCUGGACAGUAACUGACGCUGAGGUGCGAAAGCGUGGGGAGCAAACAGGAUUAGAUACCCGGGUAGUC
rnacentral:rRNA from 1 species